GGGAAUAUAGUUAAUAUAAUAAUAUUUAUAUUGCAUAUAAAAGUUAAAUAGAUAAAUUUAUUCUUA
rnacentral:tRNA from 1 species